CCGGCCUAAUGCCAAAUCGAGUCAAUAUAACACAAUUCACAAUACCGUUUACAAAAGGCAUGAAAAUCUACACCGGCGGUCCUAACGUCCAGCACCAUGCUAUCCAAUUAUCCUUACCUAAAGCGACCUGCAAAAAGGACAACGGAGUUGGAUAAGUAAUCUAGUAUUACUCAGUGAGCUGGCGGCCUCAACCCGCAACCUAGAUUCUAACCCAGACAACCCAAAAUAACAAUCAAUCUAGCCC
rnacentral:lncRNA from 1 species